UUUCCGUAGGUGAACCUGCGGAAGGAUCAUUAUCAAAACAGCGGACUUCGGUCCUUGCUGCACCCUUGUCUUUUGCGUACCUAUCGUUUCCUCGGCGGGCUUGCCUGCCGGUUGGACAACUUUAUAACCUUUUUAAAUCUUCAAUCAGCGUCAGAAACAAAACAAUAAUUACAACUUUCAACAACGGAUCUCUUGGUUCUGGCAUCGAUGAAGAACGCAGC
rnacentral:misc_RNA from 1 species